ACUGCUCAGUAACACGUAGUCAACAUGCCCAGGGGACGUGGAUAACCUCGGGAAACUGAGGAUAAACCGCGAUAGGUCAUCACUUCUGGAAUGGGUAAUGACUUAAAUCUAUAUGGCCCCUGGAUUGGACUGCGGCCGAUCAGGCUGUUGGUGAGGUAAUGGCCCACCAAACCUGUAACCGGUACGGGCUCUAAGAGGAGGAGCCCGGAGAUGGGCACUGAGACAAGGGCCCAGGCCCUAUGGGGCGCAGCAGGCGCGAAACCUCUGCAAUAGGCGAAAGCUUGACAGGGUUACUCUGAGUGAUUUCCGUUAAGGAGAUCUUUUGGCACCUCUAAAAAUGGUGCAGAAUAAGGGGUGGGCAAGUCUGGUGUCAGCCGCCGCGGUAAUACCAGCACCCCGAGUGGUCGGGACGUUUAUUGGGCCUAAAGCAUCCGUAGCCGGUUCUACAAGUCUUCCGUUAGAUCCACCUGCUUAACAGAUGGGCUGCGGAAGAUACUAUAGAGCUAGGAGGCGGGAGAGGCAAGCGGUACUCGAUGGGUAGGGGUAAAAUCCGUUGAUCCAUUGAAGACCACCAGUGGCGAAGGCGGCUUGCCAGAACGCGCUCGACGGUGAGGGAUGAAAGCUGGGGGAGCAAACCGGAUUAGAUACCCGGGUAGUCCCAGCUGUAAACGAUGCAGACUCGGUGAUGAGUUGGCUUAUUGCUAACUCAGUGCCGCAGGGAAGCCGUUAAGUUUGCCGCCUGGGGAGUACGGUCGCAAGACUGAAACUUAAAGGAAUUGGCGGGGGAGCA
rnacentral:rRNA from 1 species